GCGUUGAAAUACCAGUUUUCGAACGAUCACAGCAGUUAAGCAACGUCGAGCUUGGUUAGUACCGAGAUUAGUGACCACUUAGGAACAACAGGUGCUGUAAG